UCGACACAAGUAAAAGCCCCCAGACAAAACUGUAGCCUGUGCAAGAUCAGUAGGAGUCCCCACGUGUCAGCUGAGAGGUCUGAUCACCCUCUUAGCCAGGGAACCCCUCAGUUUUUGCCGGCUCAUGUCGUAUCGUAUAAACAAAGCCACGCCCCCUAAUUCACUAUGUGCUUGAUGUCUAUACUGCUGGUCGGUUACAUCUGGAAGUGUGGGCACAAAUCUAAUGUUCUGUUGCAAUGGUGUCUCAAGUCAUUAAGUCCAGGAUCAUACAAUAAAAGGCUUCAACAUCAGUUCAUCUGGGAAAAUAUAAUUCCAAAGAAAAGAAAAGAAAAGAACACCACCACAGAGAAAAGUUAUCUGAUCCAUCCAUAUGGUAUUCUAGUCCAGUGAACUUAAGCUAUUCCUUUUCUGGAUUUGAAAUAAGAAAACUUAUUGAGAAAGCACAUUAAAUGGACUGUCAUGGAAGCAAUCUCGAUCACAUGAAUGUCUUGCAUUCUGGAACUAGAACAUCUGUUUGCUAUCCAAAUGUCAUGAAGAAUAAACUUCAAAACUGCA